ACACUUACCUGGCAGGAGAGAUACCAUGAUGACAAAGGUGGUUUUCCCAGGACAAGCCUUGUCCAUUAUACUCUAGAUGUGCUGACCCCCUCAAUUUCCCCAAAUGUGGGAAACUCGGCUGAAUAAUUUGUGGUAGUGGGGGCUGCGAUUGUGCUUUCCCCUA